rnacentral:rRNA from 1 species
UACGGAGGGUGCGAGCGUUGUCCGGAAUCAUUGGGCGUAAAGGGCGCGUAGGUGGCGGGACAAGCGUGCGGUGAAAGCCUGGGGCUCAACCCCGGGUCGGCCGUGCGAACUGUUUUGCUUGAGCACUGUAGAGGCAGGCGGAAUUCCGGGUGUAGCGGUGGAAUGCGUAGGGAUCCGGAAGAAUACCCGUGGCGAAGGCGGCCAGCUGGGCCAGGUCCGACACUGAGGCGCGAAAGCGUGGGGAGCAAACAGG